rnacentral:misc_RNA from 1 species
AAGUCGUAACAAGGUUUCCGUAGGUGAACCUGCGGAAGGAUCAUUCACACUAACAUAUCGACAGUAUGUACACUAUAUGUAAUAUAUAUGUAUAUGUGCAUACUGCCAUACAAAACAACCCACAAACCCCUGAACAAACUCUUUUUUAUGUGUGCCCUUGCUUGCGAAAUCUUUGUCGAGCAACGGGAAGGCCGGCACAUCUAUGUGCUGGGGCCAUAUAUUUAUUUUUACUAUUUGCCUUUAUACUUAUUUCAUAUUAACGGCUGUAUGGAUGCCAAGCUCGUAUACGAUAUAUCAUACAUAAUGAUUGUUGUGUGCUUGUAGCAGAGGUAUUUACUAUACGGUAUCGUGAUAUUGGAAUGAUAUAAAAAUAUUACAAUACAACUCUUUGCAAUGGAUAUCUUGGUUCUC